rnacentral:rRNA from 1 species
UACGUAGGUGACCAGCGUUGUCCGGAUUUACUGGGCGUAAAGAGCGCGCAGGCGGUCGUUCAAGUCGAGUGUGAAAGCCCCCCGGCUCAACUGGGGAGGGUCAUUCGAUACUGAUCGACUCGAAGGCAGGAGAGGGUAGUGGAAUUCCCGGUGUAGUGGUGAAAUGCGUAGAUAUCGGGAGGAACACCAGUGGCGAAGGCGACUACCUGGCCUGUUCUUGACGCUGAGGCGCGAAAGCUAGGGGAGCAAACGGGG